rnacentral:rRNA from 1 species
UACAGAGACUGCAAGCGUUAUUCGGAUUCACUGGGCGUAAAGGGUGCGCAGGCGGUCGUGUGUGUCAGAUGUGAAAUCCCGGAGCUUAACUCCGGAACUGCGUCUGAAACUACACGACUUGAGCAUUGGAGAGGGAAGUGGAAUUCAUGGUGUAGCAGUGAAAUGCGUAGAUAUCGUGAGGAACACCAGAGGCGAAGGCGGCUUACUGGACAAUUGCUGACGCUCAGGCACGAAAGCUUGGGGAGCAAAAGGG